GAUGAACGCUGGCGGCGUGCCUAAUACAUGCAAGUCGAGCGAACAGACGAGGAGCUUGCUCCUCUGACGUUAGCGGCGGACGGGUGAGUAACACGUGGAUAACCUACCUAUAAGACUGGGAUAACUUCGGGAAACCGGAGCUAAUACCGGAUAAUAUAUUGAACCGCAUGGUUCAAUAGUGAAAGACGGUUUUGCUGUCACUUAUAGAUGGAUCCGCGCCGCAUUAGCUAGUUGGUAAGGUAACGGCUUACCAAGGCAACGAUGCGUAGCCGACCUGAGAGGGUGAUCAGCCACACUGGAACUGAGACACGGUCCAGACUCCUACGGGAGGCAGCAGUAGGGAAUCUUCCGCAAUGGGCGAAAGCCUGACGGAGCAACGCCGCGUGAGUGAUGAAGGUCUUCGGAUCGUAAAACUCUGUUAUUAGGGAAGAACAAAUGUGUAAGUAACUAUGCACGUCUUGACGGUACCUAAUCAGAAAGCCAUGGCUAACUACGUG
rnacentral:rRNA from 1 species